UGGGCCUAAAGCGUUCGUAGCCGGUUGAAUAAGUCCUUGGUGAAAAGGGCACGCUUAACGUGUCCAAUGGCUAAGGAUACUGUUCGGCUAAGAGACUAGUAGAGGUGCAUGGAAUUACGGGGGUAACGGUGAAAUGUUGUGAUCCUCGUAGGACCACCGGUAGCGAAGGCGAUGCACCAGGAUAGAUCUGACGGUGAGGAACGAAAGCUGGGGGAGCGACCCGGAUUAGAUACCCGGUUAGUCCCAGCUGUAAACGAUGCAGACUAGGUGUUCGGUUUUCUACGUGAAACCCGAGUGCCGUCGCGAAGGCAUUAAGUCUGCCGCCUGGGAAGUACACUCGCAAGGGUGGAACUUAAAGGAAUUGGCGGGGGAGCACAAG
rnacentral:rRNA from 1 species